GGAGGGUGCGAGCGUUGUCCGGAAUCAUUGGGCGUAAAGGGCGCGUAGGUGGCGGGACAAGCGUGCGGUGAAAGCCUGGGGCUCAACCCCGGGUCGGCCGUGCGAACUGUUUUGCUUGAGCACUGUAGAGGCAGGCGGAAUUCCGGGUGUAGCGGUGGAAUGCGUAGAGAUCCGGAAGAACACCGGUGGCGAAGGCGGCCUGCUGGGCAGUAGCUGACACUGAGGCGCGACAGCGUGGGGAGCAAACAGGAUUAGAUACCCUGGUAGUCCACGCCGCAAACGAUGGGCACUAGGCGCUUGGGGGAGCGACCCCCCGAGGGCCGGCGCUAACGCAUUAAGUGCCCCGCCUGGGGAGUACGGCCGCAAGGCUG
rnacentral:rRNA from 1 species